CUUAAGGCGGGAUUCGGGGCCAGCAGUGGGGCUCCUUGAGGGGUAGCACUUAAGUACCUAUAGGCCUGAAGUCACAUCCCCAGAACUGUAGGGGACAUCCUUUUCUUCCCCAGUGACUAGGAAUUUAAACUGAAUGUACUUCAGUAGUAACCAACCUGCAUCAAGUUUUACCCGAGGAGGGCCACCUGAGCUUAGAAGGCUGAAUCUCAUCUUUUGACAAAGUGGUUAUCCCUUCAGAUCCUCUCCUUUUUGGUGUGAAGAACAAAGGAUCCUGCUCAAAGUUGGGACCUGUGAAGGAAAAUGACUCAGAUGGAUGUUGACAUGCAGGAAAGACUCUAAGAAGCCCAAAAGGUUGCAGUGAAAAUAUUUGUCAAGUAAGGCAUUAAAUGUAGAGGUUGAGAAACAGAUAAUUGAUGAAAAGGCUUAAAAAAACCCCAAACCAAACAAACAAAACCCAAAACAAAACCAAACAAAAAGACUAGCUCUUUUCCCUUUGCUGAAUUAAACUCUGCUGUGUACCGGAUGUGCAUCUCAGGAAUAAGGAUACAAAAUAACAUAGCAACUGAAACCUUUUAGAGGGUGAUGACCAGGGACAAGGAAGAAAACUGCAGUGAAGAAAAGUUUGGGUGUUUUUUUUUUUUUUUUAAUUUUCAGAGCUCUGAAAGAAUGUGAAGAGAGUGGUAGGUAACUGUACUCCAUUUAAUGCCACAGGGUCAAUAGCCGCCUGUUUUUCUCUGACUAAAGCUGCGUUUCUGGUAACUUCAUUUGUCUUCUGGACAUAAGCCUGAGGGGACCAAACCCAUCUGGCAGCUUUGGUUGCUGGUUGCAAACACUGAGGAUAGUUUCACACACUCAUGCACCCCUGUACUUGUCACAGCUUUCUUCAAAGCUUCCUUGGUUAGAUCUCGCCACGUUUCCACAAGCCAGGGAGUACAUGGCAUGUGAUGUCUUUUGGGUUUAUGUUUUACGCAACAAUCCCAUUGGAAGUAUUUUCCAGUAAAAUAGGAAACAAGAUUCUGUGAUGCCAGGAAUAGCAUCUAGCUAAUAUUUAGCACCAUCUUAAUUUUCAUUGGCAAGGCUUUGAGUCAGUUUAUGAAGCUAUACACAAUAGCAGAUAAGCACCCUAUGCUUUUGUUUUCCAUUUCCGUUCUCACUUGCCACAUGUCAGUGCUUCCUACAUGCAUUCUAGUAGAAUCUGUACCCAACCAGAUGGUUACCCAGUGCCAGCUGGUUCCAAACAUAAGAGUCGAUCACUACAGGGUAGGCAUUAAAGGUGAUGAGGGGAGAGGCGUGUGACUUAAGUAUUGUAUCAUCACCCUAUUACCUUAUUGCUGGUGAACUCCUCAGUUCUUCAAAGUAGGGGUUCAGCACUGGAGUCUCCUGCUCAGUACUACUUCAUUUUGCCAUGUAGAGAGAGCUGAUGCUGGUUGUGUUCCUGUGUGUGUCUGGAGUGCCAGGGUAUUUCUCCACAAGCAUCUCUUUCAAGCAUCUCCGCCUGAAGCAGCAGGCAGAGCUGCCUGCCACAUUUCCUCCAGAUGAAACCUUUCCCUCGUUACUGAUGCGUGUCAGCUGCCUCGUUGGUACGAGUGCACAAAUUGAUGGUUGGCUGUGCCCCUGUAGUGGGGAAAUGUUCUUGAUGUGUGCAGGGAUGCUGUUGAGAGAAAUUUUUGAUCACGUGCUCAGCUGUUGUUUAAGCUUGUUCCUUUCAGAGUGCACAGUUUAGAUGGUCACCAUUUCUGUCCUUUCUUCUCUCUCUCCCCUCUCCUAAUCUGCUCCUCCCUUGAGCUGAAUGAGUGAGACUUUCCAGCCCUUCCAGGAACAUGACUGGGCUGAAAUGUGUACAACAGGUAGUCCACUUGACUCGUAUGGUAUCUUUUGUGAACUGAAGCUGUUUCUAAAGGUAGAAAGAAAUAAGGGGUACCAAGCACAGGGUCCUUUGCAGGCUUAAGACAAAAGUUGUGCCUCUGCCUCAAGCUCUGUGCAAUGAGGAAACACUUUUUUUUUUUUUUCCUUCUUUCUACAGGGAAUUGCUGUUUAGUCUAGUGCUUCAUGGAAGUUUUAUAUGUGAAGAAGACUGACUGGUUUUGAGGCCUUUUUGCAAGGGGUACUGUGACAGCUGUUAAGGAGUGAAUGACAAGGGAUUUACGUAUGGGCAUUUGCUCUGUGCUGACUCUUGUUCGCCCAGUUAGGCGGCCUGAUUAAAGUGUGGGUAGGCUGAUUCACACCAGCUGCAGGACCAUUGCCAGAAUGUGGCCUGCUGAGUGAUGAGGGGAAUAAGACAUCCGUCUUGGGUGGUUGAAUUCUAGCUGGUCUUAAGCAUCUCCUUCAGAAAAAUGUGAAUAGCUUGAAUAUGGAGGUUUGUAUGGAGUUGAAUAUAUGAAUAUGGAGUCAAAUGGAUUGCAGCCCACAUGGCAGUGCUUCAGAAUUUAGCUAGCAUUGGUCAUUUCAGACUCUUACAUGAAUAGACUUUCUAUUUUAACUGCACACAUGAUGGGAAAAUCAAUAUUCUGAUUAUCUUUUCUCAGGAAGUCACAGUGCAGGCACACAGUAUACCUGUAGUCCUGUGUCACGAUAUACUGUCAGGCAAAUAGACGGCUGCUUGUACUUCUCUGCCUCCUCUACCCUCAAGUUUUGAAAAGACAGGGAGGCCACGGCAAAGUGCAGAGGAACAGGAGAGCCUGACCCUGAUGUGAGUGCUCCAUCUAGAAUUGCAUAUUGCCAUGUGCUGCACAAAGCCAGUGAGAAAGCAGCAGAGGUAGUAGGUGUUUCAGUGGGGAUAUUAAUGAGAUCAGGCACAAAAAUAUGCAGGAUAUGUUUAAUACUCCAUCCUAUUCCAGUUCUGCACGUGGGAAAUAGGUUCCCUGUUUUUGCAGCCAGCAAAUGUUUUACUAGCUUGUACACAGGCCAUCCUGUGACAGUCAGCUCAGUGCUUGGGAGUGUUUCGGGGUGUAUGUAAUUUGUAAGUAUUGAGAAACUCUGUGAGUCCCUAGUGCUCAUGAAAGUGUUCUCCUUUCAGUUUGUGCAAAACUAAACCAGGAUUAAAAGUUUCAUGCUAGGCUUUUGAAGAUGAUGAGAGAUAACCAGAAAAAUCACGCUUAGUGUUUUUUAUUAGUACUUGUAAAGACAAUAAUGUUGCAUCCUAUUUAAUAUUGCCCCUUGUUUUUGAAAUCAACUUUUUUAGAAAAGCUUGGGAAGACCAGAAUUGUAAAACAGCUUCAAGAAAUGUAGUUUGCAC